rnacentral:rRNA from 1 species
AUACGGAGGGUGCAAGCGUUGUCCGGAUUUACUGGGUUUAAAGGGUACGUAGGCGGCGAAUUAAGUCAGUGGUGAAAUGUGUCGGCUCAACCGGCAAAGUGCCAUUGAUACUGGUUUGCUAGAGUGUUGUAUAGGUGGGCGGAAUUGAUGGUGUAGCGGUGAAAUGCAUAGAUACCAUCAAGAACACCGAUUGCGAAGGCAGCUCACUGGGCAACAACUGACGCUGAGGUACGAAAGCGUGGGGAGCGAACAGGAUUAGAAACCCGGGUAGUCC